GACGAACGCUGGCGGCGUGCUUAACACAUGCAAGUCGAACGGAAAGGCCCUGCUUUUGUGGGGUGCUCGAGUGGCGAACGGGUGAGUAACACGUGAGUAACCUGCCCUUGACUUUGGGAUAACUUCAGGAAACUGGGGCUAAUACCGGAUAGGAGCUCCUGCUGCAUGGUGGGGGUUGGAAAGUUUCGGCGGUUGGGGAUGGACUCGCGGCUUAUGAGCUUGUUGGUGGGGUAGUGGCUUACCAAGGCUUUGACGGGUAGCCGGCCUGAGAGGGUGACCGGCCACAUGGGGACUGAGAUACGGCCCAGACUCCUACGGGAGGCAGCAGUGGGGAAUAUGGCACAAUGGGCGGAAGCCUGAUGCAGCAACGCCGCGUGCGGGAUGACGGCCUUCGGGUUGUAAACCGCUUUCGCCUGUGACGAAGCGUGAGUGACGGUAAUGGGUAAAGAAGCACCGGCUAACUACGUG
rnacentral:rRNA from 1 species